GGAGAGGUGGCUCAGCGGUUAAGAGCAUCGACUGCUUUUCCCCAGGUCCUGAGUUCAAAUCCCAGCAACCACA
rnacentral:tRNA from 1 species